GGAAGUUGACGGAAAGGGCAAGGGGGAAGGGGGAAGGGGAAGGUUCCCGGAGAGAGGGGGGAAAAAUCUGAAGUGAAAUUAAGGGGUAUAUCCCCUUUAAUUAAGUAGUAUUGAUUUUUAUUAAAGCCCCUAAUUAUUUCCAUUUUUAGACUGGGCCUAUUGGAGUGGGACGUCCCAGAAAGGAAACUGAGCCUAUUGGGCUG
rnacentral:lncRNA from 1 species